CAGCAGCCGCGGGAAUACGUAGGGUGCAAGCGUUAAUCGGAAUUACUGGGCGUAAAGCGUGCGCAGGCGGUUAUAUAAGACAGAUGUGAAAUCCCCGGGCUCAACCUGGGAACUGCAUUUGUGACUGUAUAGCUAGAGUACGGCAGAUGGGGAUGGAAUUCCGCGUGUAGCAGUGAAAUGCGUAGAUAUGCGGAGGAACACCGAUGGCGAAGGCAAUCCCCUGGGCCUGUACUGACGCUCAUGCACGAAAGCGUGGGGAGCAAACAGGAUUAGAUACCCCCGUAGUCCCUGUCUCUUAUAC
rnacentral:rRNA from 1 species